AGUGAACGCUGGCGGUAGGCCUAACACAUGCAAGUCGAACGGCAGCACAGUAAGAGCUUGCUCUUACGGGUGGCGAGUGGCGGACGGGUGAGGAAUACAUCGGAAUCUACUUUUUCGUGGGGGAUAACGUAGGGAAACUUACGCUAAUACCGCAUACGACCUACGGGUGAAAGCAGGGGAUCUUCGGACCUUGCGCGAUUGAAUGAGCCGAUGUCGGAUUAGCUAGUUGGCGGGGUAAAGGCCCACCAAGGCGACGAUCCGUAGCUGGUCUGAGAGGAUGAGCGGCCACACUGGAACUGAGACACGGUCCAGACUCCUACGGGAGGCAGCAGUUGGGAAUAUUGGGCAAUGGGCGCAAGCCUGAUCGAGUAAUACCGCGUGAGGGAAGAAGGCCUUCGGGUCGUAAAGCCCUGUUAUGGGGAAAGAAAAGAAGCAUGUGAAUACCCCGCUGUUCUGACGGUACCUAAAGAAAAAGCACCGGCUAACUUCGUG
rnacentral:rRNA from 1 species